UACGUAGGGGGGCAAGCGUUGUCCGGAUUCAUUGGGCGUAAAGAGCUCGUAGGCGGCUUGGCAAGUCGGGUGUGAAAACUCCAGGCUCAACCUGGAGACGCCACCCGAUACUGCCAUGGCUUGAGUCCGGUAGGGGACCACAGAAUUCCUGGUGUAGCGGUGAAAUGCGCAGAUAUCAGGAGGAACACCAACGGCGAAGGCAGCACUCUGGGCCGGUACUGACGCUGAGGAGCGAAAGCGUGGGGAGCAAACAGG
rnacentral:rRNA from 1 species